rnacentral:rRNA from 1 species
GAUGAACGCUGGCGGCGUGCCUAAUACAUGCAAGUCGAGCGAACAGACGAGGAGCUUGCUCCUCUGACGUUAGCAGCGGACGGGUGAGUAACACGUGGAUAACCUACCUAUAAGACUGGGAUAACUUCGGGAAACCGGAGCUAAUACCGGAUAAUAUAUUGAACCGCAUGGUUCAAUAGUGAAAGACGGUUUUGCUGUCACUUAUAGAUGGAUCCGCGCCGCAUUAGCUAGUUGGUAAGGUAACAGCUUACCAAGGCAACGAUGCGUAGCCGACCUGAGAGGGUGAUCGGCCACACUGGAACUGAGACACGGUCCAGACUCCUACGGGAGGCAGCAGUAGGGAAUCUUCCGCAAUGGGCGAAAGCCUGACGGAGCAACGCCGCGUGAGUGAUGAAGGUCUUCGGAUCGUAAAACUCUGUUAUUAGGGAAGAACAAAUGUGUAAGUAACUAUGCACGUCUUGACGGUACCUAAUCAGAAAGCCACGGCUAACUACGUG